GAUGAACGCUGGCGGCGUGCCUAAUACAUGCAAGUCGAGCGAACAGACGAGGAGCUUGCUCCUCUGACGUUAGCGGCGGACGGGUGAGUAACACGUGGAUAACCUACCUAUAAGACUGGGAUAACUUCGGGAAACCGGAGCUAAUACCGGAUAAUAUAUUGAACCGCAUGGUUCAAUAGUGAAAGACGGUUUUGCUGUCACUUAUAGAUGGAUCCGCGCCGCAUUAGCUAGUUGGUAAGGUAACGGCUUACCAAGGCGACGAUGCGUAGCCGACCUGAGAGGGGGAUCGGCCACACUGGAACUGAGACACGGUCCAGACUCCUACGGGAGGCAGCAGGAGGGAAUCUUCCGCAAUGGGCGAAAGCCUGACGGAGCAACGCCGCGUGAGUGAUGAAGGUCUUCGGAUCGUAAAACGCUGUUAUUAGGGAAGAACAAAUGUGUAAGUAACUAUGCACGUCUUGACGGUACCGAAUCAGAAAGCCACGGCUAACUACGU
rnacentral:rRNA from 1 species